GUGGGGAAUAUUGCACAAUGGGGGAAACCCUGAUGCAGCGACGCCGCGUGAGUGAUGAAGUAUUUCGGUAUGUAAAGCUCUAUCAGCAGGGAAGAAAAUGACGGUACCUGACUAAGAAGCACCGGCUAAAUACGUGCCAGCAGCCGCGGUAAUACGUAUGGUGCAAGCGUUAUCCGGAUUUACUGGGUGUAAAGGGAGCGUAGGCGGCAUGGCAAGUCAGAUGUGAAAGCCCGGGGCCCAACCCCGGAACUGCAUUUGAAACUGUCAGGCUAGAGUACCGGAGAGGUAAGUGGAAUUCCUAGUGUAGCGGUGAAAUGCGUAGAUAUUAGGAGGAACACCAGUGGCGAAGGCGGCUUACUGGACGGUAACUGACGCUGAGGCUCGAAAGCGUGGGGAGCAAACAGGAUUAGAAACCCUAGUAGUCC
rnacentral:rRNA from 1 species